rnacentral:lncRNA from 1 species
CCUCCGAUUGGCUACCGCGCGCUCCCAGUGACCUCGCGCAGAAGGCCGGUCCCCCAGCGGUCCAGCUCCGCUCCGCCCGCCCGGGUAGAUCGGGCCUUCCUUCCUCGUGCCUUGGCGCCUCCCUAUUCCCUGAGUCGUUUCCCCGACUGCGCGCGAAAAACAAAGCCAUCGGCGCCGCAACCUGCUCGCCACAGGAGUAAUGACACUCGGCACUCAGCUGUUCGGGACUGCCAGAGCGCCUUCGAUCGCGGAGAUGAGCAGAGGUCAAUUACUUCCCAUUUGGGGAACUUGUGAACAUUAAGAGGUGACCAGAGUGACGGGGCCGAACGAUGCAGAUAAGAGGCUGAUUGCUUACAGAGCGGCUCCCUGGUAAAAGCCCUGCUGAGGAUAAGCAGUCAUCGGUAAGAGACACACACACAAAGGGGCAGCUUUUGGUGGGGAGGAGAGAUUGCAGAGACAGAAGACUGGCAGCUGGGGG